rnacentral:lncRNA from 1 species
UUUUUUUUUUUUUUGGAAAAGAAAAAUUCUUAAAAUAAAUUCCCCACUAUGAGUGCUGUCAGUUUUCUUCAGCAGAUGAUUAUUAGGGUUCCAGAAGCAUAUUGGGAAAAUUUAGAAAGUUUAGUAUCUGAAACUUUUGAGGAUUUUUAAUUGUGCCUCUCUGUAAGAUGCCAUGAAUGGCAUCUAUGAAGAAAGAACAGGAUGUCUGACUCUACAGCAGCCAACAGCAAAAUUAGCACAAAAGGCAAUAAAAAGGUCAAGGCAGAGGCUGAAUAGGAGAAAUUCUAAGGAACUAACUGUAAUGCUGAGCAAAUAUAUUCUAGAGUUUAUCAUACAUGUUCCAAACAAACCUUCUGCAUGGCAGCAAGGUGUAGCUCAAAUGUUAGGACAGGCAAAAGAAAGACAGAACCUUAUACGAGGAAUUGAAGUGAUGAUCAUAUAAUGCCAUUGAAUGUCCAAUUUCAACUACUUUUGAAUUCAUAGAAGAAUAGAGAAUAGCUUGUGCUAUGCCCUAAAAAAAAGCCAAAUGAUGUAGUCCCAAGAGAAGGACUAAAUUUUAAUUCAUAAAGAUUUUCCCUUUAGUUUUUUAAUAUAUUCAUUGUCAUAGAAGUGUCUUUUGAUAAUUAAUAAUGUAGAUGGCCUUUGAUCAACCACAUAUGAGUAUUUUUAUAGUCUAUUUUCUUUCAAAUUAAGAGGGAUAUUGGAUAAUAUCCCUCUUCAUUGUACACCAUGAUUUUACUUUUGCUUUGCAUGUUGCUGUUUGAGUUUCGCCGGCUACUGGUCAAGAAAUCAUUGCACAUAGCUGAGUAAAGUCAUGUUAUAAGAAGGUUCUUCUUGUAAGCAGCAUCUGCCUGAAACUAAAUAUAUUCUAAUACUGAACAAUAUUAUUUUCACUAUGUAAUGCAGAAUAUAUUUCAAAUUUUUCCCUCUUCUUUAAAGAUCAGAUGUAACUGGGGGGAAAAAAAAAGAAAGAAAUGCCAGGUUGACUAUGGGAAAAAAGCAGAAACCCAGUGUGGGUCUCUCUCCUUCUGAUAGUUUAAAUUCAUGUCCUUCUCAUAGUGGCACAUGGCCAAAAUGAUAUAUAGAGCAGAUCAAACAAUGACUGUUGCACUCCAGAUGUUCGAUGUCCAAAUGAGCUAUGUUAUGCCUCUGUGGUGGUGGACUCAAAAAUCAGAAGUCUAGCUAAAAAUCUGGCCAUCAUAUUGUCAUUAUGUCAGUUAGAUAGGAAACGUAUAAAUGCUUUCUACUUAUGUGGGAAAAACUGGCAAUAAUUUGAAAUGUUUGAUACAGUCCUAAGUGGGGUAAAAGGACACCUCACCCUGAGGGCAGAUGUCAAUGCCAUGAUAUACACGUGGUAAAAAGCACAAUGUUCUUAUUGGCAUGAAAAAAACAACACAAAAUAUGUAGCACUAUUUUUUUUUUUUCUUUUUUUGAAGGAGAGUAGAUAUUCUCCCACUGUAUCCAUUACUGGAAGGGGACAGUUGGCACAUGAUGCCAAGUCGUGGGAGAAGACAGAGGGGAUUCUGUGUGCAGAGAAAGAGAAAAGAUCUGUGUUACACAGUUAAAAUGGGAAAUGGGUACCUGGAAUAAAAGUUGUGUAUGUCUGUAGAUAUAGUUACGUCUGUAUGUAAGCAAGAACAUAUCAGAAUAUCUAUUAUGUGAUAUAUUAGUAGUAAGAGAGUAACCUUGUGAAAUUAACAGGUUAUAUAAUUAAAAGCAAUAAAUAAAAGUUUGGUUUUGAAAAAUGAUCCAUAGAAAUCCUGAGGUAUUUUUAGAGAUGCACAGGAUCAGAUUACUUAGGUGAAUUACAAAAAACACCACAGUAGCAUUGCAAUGGAUAAAACAUUGCAAAGAACAGAAAAUUAUAUGUAUGACUUUCAGUGCACAAACCAACUGCUGUUGAGACAGGAAAUUCCCUUUGGGGAUUAAUGUUCAUUCAUCCUAAUACUAUUUGUUUGGAGCUUCUUGAAAUUGUUAAUAACUAGUAUUAACCCGUCCUGGAAAAUGGAUCACCAAAAACCUUGACUAUUUUUCUUAGCCAUUAUUAAUAGAAUUAAUACUAUUCAUAGAAUGGUUUGGGUUGUAAGGGAUCUUAAAGAUCAGCUAUUUCCAACCCCCUACCAAAGACGGGGAUACCUUCCCCUGAAUCAGGCUGCUGAGGCCCCAUCCUGGCCUUGAACACUGCCAGGAAUGGGACAGCCACAGCUUCCCUGGGCAACCUCACACCACCCUCACAGUGAGGAACUUCUUCCCAAUAUCUAAUCUACCCCUUAAAGCACUCCCUCUUGUCCUGUCAUUACAAAAAAGUAAUGCCUUUGUGAAAACGUCUCUCUCCAGCUCUCUUGGAGACCCCUUUAGGUGCUGGAAUGCUGCUCUAAGGUCUCCAUGGAGCCUUCUCUUCUCCAGGCUGAACAACCUCAAAUCUCUCAGCCUGUUUUCAUAGGAGAGGUACUCCAGUCCUUUGAGCAUCUUUGUAGCCAUCCUUAGGACCCAGUGCAACACAUUCAUAUAUUAAUAUUUGCUUUGAUUUCCCACAAACUUAAAAGAGAAUAAUUUGACUCCAGCUCCUAUUAGCUAGCUUCCUUCUAAAAUUUUUAUUAUAAUUUUUUCAUCUGUUUUGAGGACAUUUUCCUGAAGUAAGGAAUGUGGGGCUAUGACCUUUGUAAAAAUCUCUGUCAGAUGACAGUGAUUGUUCUGAUAAUUAUUGAUUAAUAAAGAAUAUAAGAAUAAUUGCUGCUUUCAAAUAUCCUGCAAAUCAUAGAAGCCUAUAUGAGGGCUUUCUCUAGGCAAGCUUCCAGAAUCGUCUUCCAGAAUGUUAUUUCCAAAUGAAGAAUUUUGAUAAAUUUAUUUCUUCCUGUACUGAAUUAAAUUAUCUUAAAAAGUACAAGGGUGGUGAUUCUUUACUUGAGUGGAUUUUACCUUAUUUUCAGGUAGGGCAUUCACUUAUGAAGUGGGUAGGAGUCCAAGAACUGGGAGUCUACUGCACCCAACAACUAAUGGAUGGGAAAAAAUUAAGUGUGAAUAAGUACGCAAGAUCAUACACACUGUAAAUGGGGCAUGCAAUUUUAAAAUAAAAAACCCAAAAUUCUUCUGUUAAAGCUAUUGUUAAUUAGAUAAUUUAAAUCUAUUAAACAAUAACUACUGAAUUAAAUCUGUUCCCUUUUCCAUGCUUUAUUUCUGUUGAUGAUUUCUUGUAAAAGUACAAUGAUCUCAGUUAUAUGAUUGUUCUACCCUUUAGUCUCAAUGCAUUGUGUAAAAUAUAAUGCAGUACAGAUGUCAACCUAAGAACUAAAUAGCUUAUAUUUCUAAAGAACCAUGAAAAAAUAUUAACACUAUAGAAACAAUAGUUCAGUAAUUACUUUUUGCUGUGAAGUGAGGUUAGGGAUUUAUCCUUAUAGAUCCCUAAUACACUUAAAGUCAGCACUGCCCCUGUGGUGCUUUUACCUUUGUUGAUAAAUGUAUUGUACAGGAUACCUUGUAUGACCACUACAGUAUUUGAGGUCAUGCUAGGCUGUUAGCACAAAUGGUGUGAACAAUAGUUUAUAUGCCACUUAACUCCUUAGAAGAAACAGUUAACCUUGCCAGAGAGGACAGAUCAGUCAUGUAUAGUUAUUAAAGUCUAGAAGGUUUUGUUAUGCUCUCAAAUACUUUUACAGAACUGUAAUACUCUGGUACGAGCUUUACCAAAUAGGGGAGCAACAAAGUCAAGAAUCAGCUUUGCCACCUUUGAAAAGGAUAUUCAAAGUUUUCUAAAAAAGUAUUUUACCAGACCUACUUUUGAGCACACAAAUUGUGAUAUAUUUAAUCACCAGAAUUUUUGAACAUGGCUAACUAAGUAGCAGUAUAUGAAGUCACUCUCUUAAAACAACUAAGUUUAUGAAAAUUUAUUGUGAAUUUGAUGGCCUUGAAAUGGACAGGCAACAAAAAACCUCAUAGAUCUUCUUGAUUACAGUUUUCCAAAUAAUGAUGAAACAUCAUAAAUGACACAGAUGAGCGUCAUAAUUGAAUUUUAUUUAACAAGCAAUUAACUAUAAAAAUAACUUCCAACAAAAUAUCCUUUUCCAGAAUUUCUCAUGAAUAGAAGUGACAGAGUGCACAAAUAAUAAAACACACUAGGAGAUUACUGAGGACGUAUCAGGUAUUCCACAUACAUAUGGCAAUGACACUGAUUUUAACACAGAUGACCCAGUUUCAUGACAUAAUGUGCUGCUUCUACAUUGUUGUUUAUUCCAGUGGAUUGAUUGUCAGAUCCAAACAAUUUUUGGCACUUUUAUAAAACACAAAUCUGAAGGCAGCCUCAUCUGUUUCUGGUUCAGGCAUAGAAGCCUGUCAGCCCCUGUACUUGCAUGUGUGUUUGCAUGCAAGCAAACAUCAUUAACCACCACUGAAUCUUUACAUUUUAAGGGUUAAUUCAGAAUUAGUGUAGCUGUCUUAGUCUGGCCUGCAUUUUCAAUGCAGCACAUAUUAGUCACUUCCUCUCCUCCAGCUCUGGUUUAACAUCCCUAUAUGCAAAUGCUCCCCCAGGCAGGGUUUGAGGUUACAGAGGAGUGGUCUCCUCCCCUUGCCACCCAAUCUGCCACAUGCCAUGUGCCUCAUCCAUGCUGCGCUGCCUCACCCCUCUUCCCAGGGUGGACCUCUCUCUGAUUCUGCCUGGAUUGUUGAUACCCAACUCUGCAGCUAAGGUGGCAAAGACUCACUCAGCCUUGUGGAAGCUCUUUCCACUGGCACACUUAUGUCCCAUGCAAGCAUGGGAACUCUCAGCAUGACAUCAGCUUCCAAGUCUCUGAGCAGGAAACUCUACCAUGUCCCAGGGUAGAUGGGAGGAAACACAUUCC